GAUGAACGUUGGCGGCGUGCCUAAUACAUGCCAGUCGAGCGAACAGACGAGGAGCUUGCUCCUCUGACGUUAGCGGCGGACGGGUGAGUAACACGUGGAUAACCUACCUAUAAGACUGGGAUAACUUCGGGAAACCGGAGCUAAUACCGGAUAAUAUAUUGAACCGCAUGGUUCAAUAGUGAAAGACGGUUUUGCUGUCACUUAUAGAUGGAUCCGCGCCGCAUUAGCUAGUUGGUAAGGUAACGGCUUACCAAGGCGACGAUGCGUAGCCGACCUGAGAGGGUGAUCGGCCACACUGGAACUGAGACACGGUCCAGACUCCUACGGGAGGCAGCAGUAGGGAAUCUUCCGCAAUGGGCGAAAGCCUGACGGAGCAACGCCGCGUGAGUGAUGAAGGUCUUCGGAUCGUAAAACUCUGUUAUUAGGGAAGAACAAAUGUGUAAGUAACUAUGCACGUCUUGACGGUACCUAAUCAGAAAGCCACGGCUAACUACGUG
rnacentral:rRNA from 1 species